CCUAUCGAUGAUGGAAGAAAAAAGAAUCACGCUUCGCUCCGCAAUCGCUCGCGCGCUUCCGCCUCCCCUCCCACGGCGCAUCGGAGGAACCGCGACGUGCGGGACUCCGUGGUGGCGCCGUAAUCGCUGCUGUGCGUGAGGGCCAGCGCUCUGCUGCCGCUGUCUGCGCGCGCGGGCGGCGGGCCUGCGUCCAGCUACCGCCGCCGGCAACGGUGACUCCUGUCCAACGGGGCGUCAAGCAGGGACGGGUCGUCAGCGAGCGCCGAGCGGCCGCGGCCGAUGGUGGUGCCGCUAUCGCCGCCAGUACGCGAGGGCCGGCGCUCCGCCACCGCCGGCGCCGGCGUGCGAGGCACCGCUCUGCUACCCUGCCCUCCCACCGUACCGGGCCUCAUCAGGUUCUCCCGGCCAUGAGUGCAUGUACAAGACGAGUUAUACAGUGAGUGCGGAGGUGAUGCCCACCAGCGCUCUCCUUGAUCCCACAGUUGCGUUGCUCUUUGCUGGGUUGGUGCCACCGUGCCAGGCUGUCGAGCAGCGCUCCUCAACAUUCAAAUGCACGCACCAUGGCUGCAGCUCGCAAGGUGUUCGGUAGAGUGCUCACAAGGAGGCUUAGGAGAUCAAUGUGUUAGGAUGGUGGAUGGGGGCUGUUUGGUCUGACCGUUGUUGUCUAACCACGUCAAGAGUACGCUUGCUCCUCCUCCAGAUCAGAUUGUUUUCCCCCUCCACCUUCAUUGACUGAUUUAGUCUCACAAUGGCCUGAGUACGUCCCAUAUGUAUGUUUGUAACAUUACUAUAUUAGCUAUGAACACGUGUCCAGUUUCUUACCUUUUUAAUAUAUGUUUGUUCAGUAGUUCAUAGAGGCAGACAAUUCAAUUUCUAAUGAUUAUAUAAUUUUCUAUUUAAUAUAUAUAUACCUGCAAUUCAUGCUCGCUACUUCCACUGAUACAAUAGGAUCCCCAAAUCUGUGAUACUAAUAAGACAAACAAUGUCUGAGCAAAAUGGAGGAGAUCAACUUGCUCUUUCACGGCCUGAAAAUUGGUCCAUGAAGUUUCCGGCAAUGAAAUUUCAGUUCGGAAUUCAACUUAACACCAUAUGCUAAAUUGAUACUUUGCAGAGUCAUAAAAAAUCAAGGUUAUGGGCACAAGUUUCACAGUGGCGACAAGAUCGGUCGAAUCAAGCUAUAUAUAUGUGUGUGGCAUACUUUCAAGGAUAUAUAUUUGCUGUCCAUCUGCUUUUAGUAGAUUUGUACAUGCUUCUGUUAGCUCCAUUGGCUAAAUACAAGCAAGCACCUGGCGGUGGUGACAUUCGUUGAUUGCCAGGUGCCAACCAAUAUAAUCAAUUACCAUUUUUCUGUAAUUCUUUCCCUAAGCAUGAUGGUAUAUUAAUCUCCAUGAAAAUACGUACUGUGUCAUAAACUUACAUUUCCUGUAAACUAAAUUAAAUUUCA